rnacentral:rRNA from 1 species
AGAGUUUGAUCAUGGCUCAGGACGAACGCUGGCGGCGUGCUUAACACAUGCAAGCCGAACGGUAAGGCCCUUCGGGGUACACGAGUGGCGAACGGGUGAGUAACACGUGGGUGAUCUGCCCUGCACUUCGGGAUAAGCCUGGGAAACUGGGUCUAAUACCGGAUAGGACUCCUGGCUUCAUGGUUGGGGGUGUAAAGCUUUUGCGGUGUGGGAUGGGCCCGCGGCCUAUCAGCUUGUUGGUGGGGUAAUGGCCUACCAAGGCGACGACGGGUAGCCGGCCUGAGAGGGUGACCGGCCACACUGGGACUGAGAUACGGCCCAGACUCCUACGGGAGGCAGCAGUGGGGAAUAUUGCACAAUGGGCGCAAGCCUGAUGCAGCGACGCCGCGUGAGGGAUGACGGCCUUCGGGUUGUAAACCUCUUUCAAUAGGGACGAAGCGCAAGUGACGGUACCUAUAGAAGAAGGACCGGCCAACUACGUG